rnacentral:rRNA from 1 species
AAUCAUUUGUCUUUUAAAUGAAGACUUGUAUGAACGGCAAAACCUCCUCCAACUGUCUCCCCUCCCAUCCUUCCAAAUUUCCUCCUGUGUGAAGAAGCACAGAUACACCAGAAAGACGAGAAGACCCUGUCGAGCUUUAACCACUAAGUGGGCCUUACCCUUUCAGGCACCACCCAAAGGUUUUGGUUGGGGCAACCACGGAGAAAAAACAUCCUCCAGAACGAAUAGAAGAAAGCUUUUCACUAUUAUUACGACUAAGAACCAGGAACUGGUAUUCGGAAAGAGUUACCGCAGGGAUAACAGCGUCAUCUCCUCUAAGAGUCCUUAUUGACGAGGAGGUUUGCGACCUCGAUGUUGGAUUGGGGCCCCCUUAGGGUGCAGAAGCUCUAAACGGUUAGACUGUUCGUCUAUUAAAGCCCUACAUGAUCUGAGUUCAAACCGGAG